rnacentral:antisense_RNA from 1 species
ACUUUCAACGAAGGAGACAGACAUUUCCCUGGCCUUCCUGGUGAAGAGCGCUUUUUGGAGAGACAAACCUGUUGCUCAGGGGCUGAGCAUUCCCGUGUGUUCUCCCUGUACUUCACCUAAAAAUAUGCCUGUUUUCCACACUGUGCAUACCUGGGGGUGGGUGCUGGGCAUACUCUACCUGCCUGUGUUUUCUCAUCAGGGAGUAAACACAGUAAACCUAACGCUCCAGGGGAAGGAAAAAACAAAUCAUUCAGGGCCCAUCUCAGGGACUGAUGAAUGCGGCACCGUUUUGAAUGUGUACCUAAUCUGGUCCAGAUAUGCCUGCUGGGGCCGCAAAAACCAAGACACGUUCAAGCACGUUUGCUCUGGCAAGCUUGGGCGAGCAGGUCCAGACCUGAGAGUUUUAGAAAGCAGGGACGAAGUUUUCAAGCACGAUGGGAACACCUGUAGGUGCAGGUGCCUGCCGGUCGGCCGACCACCUCGCAUCUGAGGCUGGAUCCGCACACGGAGGACGACAACUGCUCACAGGGACGUGCGUCCAGGGGAAAGUUGCGAAUGAGGGAGGAGAAGGAGCCAGUUUGGAAGGGAGGCUGAUAAGUUUCAUUUUUAAAAAUGGAUCUGCAUUUGGAUAUCUCUGGGGAUGCCAGUAAGGUUGUUGGGUACAGGGGUCUGCAACUCAGAGACCAGCAGGCAUCCUGAACAAGACAGAUCCAGGCAGACGGAAUGGGCUUGUAGGAUAACUUGGCAGAGGGCGCAACCAAGAAGAGUUCAGAGGUGCUGGCCAGUUCCAUGCGACUGCAUGGGGGCAUGGGAGAAGAGAUACACUUAAACCAGGGUCCCACAGGCUCAAUGGGUCUCCUUCCAAAACCAGCUUCCAAUGAGCCCUCAGAUUCUCCAAAUACUGGGCAGCUGGAUUUCCCAGACACCUUCUGCAAUCUGCUGACAUCUAAUAUACCUGUAGACUGUUCUCCCGCUGACAAGGGGGUUCUGGCUCUUAUCCUAUAAAGAAGAGAGGUGGCAGAGAGUUGGAGGAGAGGGCCUCCUUCCCUGGCAUAUCCACCCGACGAUCUCCAAGAACAUCCUGGCUGUGGCCCACACCUUUCUGUGUGGUUAGGAGGAGUAUCGGAUGCCUUCUCUUUCCAACCUUGGAUUGUGUGAAGUUGGUGUUAUGGUGAUGUAAGAGGAUGGCUGUAUUCUGAGUGAUGCAAGAUCCAACAUUUAGGCAUGAAAUGCCAUGAUGACAGCCACUUACUUUAGCAAAAGGGAAGUUGUGUGUGUGUGUGUGCACGCACGCGUACGCAUAUAAAUAGAGGAAGUAGCUACAGCUAGAUGGUGAGUCUACGUGAGGAGUAUCUGGGUGUUCAUCGUACUGUUCUUUCAACUUUUCUGUGGGUUUGAAAAUUUUCAAAACAAGACAAAAAAUGUUUUUCAAAGACUGAGAGGAUAGGAAAUAGAAAUGGCUCUUAUUAAAGAGCCAUUUAGAAGAAUGUUUUCUUCUAUUUCCUUUUCCCCACGACUAUGACCCUCAGUGCCAGCGAUUUCUCCUUUCCAUAAACUUUUGUUUGACCUUAAAUCAUUGUGACACCACUGAGCAGGGAAUCUCAAUAAUGGCUGACAUAUCUGGUAGCAAAAGG